rnacentral:rRNA from 1 species
UACGGAGGGUGCAAGCGUUAUCCGGAUUCACUGGGUUUAAAGGGUGCGUAGGUGGGUUGGUAAGUCAGUGGUGAAAUCUCCGGGCUUAACCUGGAAGCUGCCAUUGAUACUAUCAAUCUUGAAUACCUUGGAGGUGAGCGGAAUAUGUCAUGUAGCGGUGAAAUGCUUAGAUAUGACAUAGAACACCAAUUGCGAAGGCAGCUCACUACACGGUCAUUGACACUGAGGCACGAAAGCGUGGGGAUCAAACAGG